GACGAACGCUGGCGGCGUGCUUAAUACAUGCAAGUCGAACGGAAAGGCCCUGCUUUUGUGGGGUGCUCGAGUGGCGAACGGGUGAGUAAAACGCGAGUAACAUGCCCUUGACUUUGGGAUAACUUUAGGAAACUGGGGCUAAUACCGGAUAGGAGCUUCUGAUGCAUGGUGGGGGAAGGAAAGUUUCGGCGGUUGGGGAUGGUAUCGAGGCUUAUCCGCUUGUUUGUGGGGUAGGGGAUUACAAAGGCUUUGACGGGUAGCCGGCCUGGGAGGGUGACCGGCCACAUUGGGACUGAGAGACGGCCCAGACUGCUACGGGAGGCAGCAGGGGGGAAUAUUGCACAAUGGGCGGAAGCCUGAUGCAGCAACGCCGCGUGCGUGAUGACGUCCUUCGGGUUGUAAACCGCUUUCGCCUGUGACGAAGCGUGAUUGACGGUAAUGGGUAAAGAAGCACCGGCUAACUACGUG
rnacentral:rRNA from 1 species